AAUAGAUACCCCGGUAGUCCACCCGUAACGUUGGGAACUAAUUGUGGGGUCCUUUCCACGGAUUCCGUGACGCAGCUAACGCAUUAAGUUCCCCGCCUGGGGAGUACGGCCGCAAGGCUAAAACUCAAAGGAAUUGACGGGGACCCGCACAAGCGGCGGAGCAUGCGGAUUAAUUCGAUGCAACGCGAAGAACCUUACCAAGGCUUGACAUAUACCAGAACACCCUAGAAAUAGGGGACUCUUUGGACACUGGUGAACAGGUGGUGCAUGGUUGUCGUCAGCUCGUGUCGUGAGAUGUUGGGUUAAGUCCCGCAACGAGCGCAACCCUCGUUCUAUGUUGCCAGCACGUAAUGGUGGGAACUCAUGGGAUACUGCCGGGGUCAACUCAGAGGAAGGUGGGGAUGACGUCAAAUCAUCAUGCCCCUUAUGUCUUGGGCUUCACGCAUGCUACAAUGGCCGGUACAAAGGGCUGCAAUACCGUGAGGUGGAGCGAAUCCCAAAAAGCCGGUCCCAGUUCGGAUUGAGGUCUGCAACUCGACCUCA
rnacentral:rRNA from 1 species